GUGAUCGCUUUGGCAGCACAUAUACUUAAAUUGGAAUGACAGAGAAGAUUAGCAUGGUCCCCUGUGCAAGGAUGGCAUGCAAAUCUGUAAGUGUUCCAUAUUUUG
ensembl:snRNA U6 U6 spliceosomal RNA